rnacentral:rRNA from 1 species
CUGCGGAAGGAUCAUUGUCGUGACCCUGACCAAAACAGACCGCGCACGCGUCAUCCAACCCGUCGGUGACGGCACUGUCCGUCGCUCGGCCAAUGCCUCGACCACCUCCCCUCCUCGGAGCGGGUGGGGGCUCGGGGUAAAAGAACCCACGGCGCCGAAGGCGUCAAGGAACACUGUGCCUAACCCGGGGGCAUGGCUAGCUUGCUAGCCGUCCCUUGUGUUGCAAAGCUAUUUAAUCCACACGACUCUCGGCAACGGAUAUCUCGGCUCUCGCAUCGAUGAAGAACGUAGCGAAAUGCGAUACCUGGUGUGAAUUGCAGAAUCCCGCGAACCAUCGAGUCUUUGAACGCAAGUUGCGCCCGAGGCCACUCGGCCGAGGGCACGCCUGCCUGGGCGUCACGCCAAAACACGCUCCCAACCACCCUCAUCGGGAAUCGGGACGCGGCAUCUGGUCCCUCGUCUCGCAAGGGGCGGUGGACCGAAGAUCGGGCUGCCGGUGUACCGCGCCGGACACAGCGCAUGGUGGGCGUCCUCGCUUUAUCAACGCAGUGCAUUCGACGCGCAGCCGACAUUAUGGCCUCAGAACGACCCAGCAAACGAAGCGCACGUUGCUUCGACCGCGACCCCAGGUCAGGCGGGACUACCCGCUGAGUUUAAGCA